rnacentral:sRNA from 1 species
UAGAGUUGGUGGCAAUGUCUUUGUAGC